rnacentral:misc_RNA from 1 species
UCCGAGUUGACCCCGGCAGUCUCCUAUGAGUCCCCAACACCCUUGCGGGCUUGCUGGCAACAUAGAACGAGGGUUGCGCUCGUUGCGGGACUUAACCCAACAUCUCACGACACGAGCUGACGACAGCCAUGCACCACCUGUAUACCGACCUUGCGGGGGCUACAUCUCUGUAGCUUUCCGGCAUAUGUCAAACCCAGGUAAGGUUCUUCGCGUUGCAUCGAAUUAAACCACAUGCUCCACCGCUUGUGCGGGCCCCCGUCAAUUCCUUUGAGUUUCAGCCUUGCGGCCGUACUCCCCAGGCGGGGCACUUACUGCGUUAGCGACGGCACUCAGGGGGUCGCUCCCCCCGGCACCUAGUGCCCAUCGUUUACGGCGUGGACUAC